rnacentral:rRNA from 1 species
AGAGUUUGAUCCUGGCUCAGAAUGAACGCUGGCGGCACGCUUAACACAUGCAAGUCGAACGAGAUCUUCGGAUCUAGUGGCAGACGGGUGCGUAACGCGUGGGAACCUGCCCUUUAGUAAGGAAUAACUCAGGGAAACUUGUGCUAAUACCUUAUAAUCCCUUCGGGGGAAAGCUUUAUGCGCUAAUGGAUGGGCCCGCGUUAGAUUAGCUUGUUGGUGAGGUAAUGGCUCACCAAGGCUACGAUCUAUAGCUGGUCUGAGAGGAUGAUCAGCCACACUGGGACUGAGACACGGCCCAGACUCCUACGGGAGGCAGCAGUGGGGAAUAUUGGACAAUGGGGGCAACCCUGAUCCAGCGAUGCCGCGUGAGUGAUGAAGGCCCUAGGGUUGUAAAACUCUUUCGCCAGGGAAGAUAAUGACGGUACCUGGUAAAGAAGAUCCGGCUAACUCCGUGCCAGCAGCCGCGGUAAUACGGAGGGAUCUAGCGUUAUUCGGAAUAACUGGGCGUAAAGCGAGCGUAGGCGGAUUUGUAAGUUGGAGGUGAAAUCCCAGGGCUUAACCCUGGAACUGCCUUCAAAACUACAUUUCUUGAGUUUGGUAGAGGAGAGUGGAAUUCCUAGUGUAGAGGUGAAAUUCGUAGAUAUUAGGAGGAACACCAGUGGCGAAAGCGACUCUCUGGGCCAAUACUGACGCUGAGGUUCGAAAGCGUGGGGAGCGAACGGGAUUAGAUACCCCGGUAGUCCACGCAGUAAACGAUGAGUGCUAGAUGUUGGGAACAUUAGUUUUCAGUAUCGCAGCUAACGCGUUAAGCACUCCGCCUGGGAAGUACGGCCGCAAGGCUAAAACUCAAAUGAAUUGACGGGGACCCGCACAAGUAGUGGAGCAUGUGGUUUAAUUCGAAG